AAUAACAUUAACGACGGCAGCAUUGCAUUUAGAUUUGACCGUUUGAGAGCACUUUGCAUUGUGCACGACAGCUCAAUGGCUUACUGGAGCUCUUAAAUGAACAGAGUCAUCCUCAAAGUAAUUAGUGACAGCUGCGAAUCUGGUGCCACAGUAUGACAAAUCAAAAUGAAAAGCCUGGCUGUUCAGAUUGAAAGCUUCAAGCAACCCAGUAUUGUCCCCACGCUACUGAUGGAUUUCGUCUCUCAAUACUGCUUUAAACUGCCAAAGGAGAAAAAAUGCCACCGCAGAAAAAGCUGUUCUGGAGGCUUCACUACAGCCUCUGACCUACUUCAAGCACUUGAGAUGAUGGAGGAAAAAGACGCUGCUGAGGUGCGAAAUUCAGGCAAUGAUAGAAGAAGAGGGAUUCCUGCUCGUCUUUAUAAGCGAUGCCUAAGGCUGGAAAGAGAAGCUGAUGUUAUGGUGCAGCUCACAGGAUUUUAGACUCAUCUUAUAUUUGCAGCAACAAUGAAUUUGUUAAGCGAUAUGUAUUUAAUGUUUCUGUCUGAUGGUGUAAAAUGACAGUGUGUUGGAAAACAUUAAAGGACUCAAAACCUUGAAUAUUGUAAUAUAUUUGUAAGUAUGCGAUGGAUGUACAUUUUAUGUAUUUAUAAAGCACUGUAAUAAAAAAAACUGCAAGCCAUCAGAUUGUGCAUUGAACAUGUAAUAAAAUCCUUUAUA
rnacentral:lncRNA from 1 species